CCCUUAGACGUUCUGGGCCGCACGCGCGCUACACUGACGAAGGCAACGAGCUUUCCUUUACCGAAAGGUACGGGUAAUCUUUUGAAACUUCGUCGUGCUGGGGAUAGAUCCUUGCAAUUAUUGAUCUUAAACGAGGAAUUCCUAGUAAGCGCAAGUCAUCAACUUGCGUUGAUUACGUCCCAGCCCUUUGUACACACCGCCCGUCGCUACUACCGAUUGAAUGGUUUAGUGAGGCCUUCGGAUCCGCGACUCGUUUUGUGGAGAAGUUGGACAAACUCAGUCAUUUAGAGGAAGUAAAAGUCGUAACA
rnacentral:rRNA from 1 species